rnacentral:rRNA from 1 species
CCCCGCGGCCUAGUGGCGGACGGGUGAGUAACGCGUGGGCAACCUGCCCCAUACCGGGGGAUAACAGCCGGAAACGGCUGCUAACACCGCAUAAGCGCUGGGGGCCGCAUGGCUCCCGGCGGAAAACUCCGGUGGUAUGGGAUGGGCCCGCGUCUGAUUAGGCAGUUGGCGGGGCAGCGGCCCACCAAACCGACGAUCAGUAGCCGGCCUGAGAGGGCGGCCGGCCACAUUGGGACUGAGACACGGCCCAGACUCCUACGGAAGGCAGCAG